rnacentral:lncRNA from 1 species
GCCUUAUGAGAAAUUAUUACACGGCCGGGUCAGAUUCCGGGACACGUUUAUGGUGCAUUACCUGAUGAAUUCUCACAUCGAAAGAUAUAAAUACAGGAAGUGGGAUAAUGUGGCGCGUGAGUAUUGGUCCGCUCCAUCUAAUAAUUUAUCCUUUUUCAGAUUGUCUUCUUGCUCCCUGAUUUUAUGUUCUGGGGAAGCCACGAGGGCCCAACCUUCCCUGUUUUGAUUUGGCCAACACAAUUUACCGUCCAGCCUAGUAAGAGACGUCCGACUCAUUGGGAGAGGGAGGUAGGCAACGUGAAGCCCAUGGAUCGGGGGAAGGGCCCAGCAGCAGUAAAACAGGCUCUGCAAAGCCCAAUAGGUCCAAAGGCAAGGCUCUAGCCCGUCAGGAAGGCUCGGUGGACAUGCCAGCCAUCUUAAGAGGUUCUAGGAUCUUCACCUUCUCAGUUGGGACCCCAAAAAAAGGAGAAGCAGUGGCUGUGUAGCACCUACAAGAGACUCACAAACAUACGACCUUGGUGCCCCAGCAGAUGCAGGGCAGUCUAAGGAGAGAUUGGUGGCCGAGACUUUGGAGGGAGCACGCAAGGACCUGUAACAACUUAGCAAAAUAAAAUAAAAUAACAUGAGUUAGAAAUACUCAUCCUCAUCAAGAUUGCUGGUAGAGGAGCAAAAAAAUCAGAAAAACUUGGUCUUACUCUAGGAAAUCCCGAUCCACGUCGGGCACACCCUUCUCCUUCCUCAGGAGCGGCUAAGGUUUCAAAAGAGGGCCAAGAGUCGGCUAGGGUUUCGAAGAGGAAGACAAAAAAAAAACAGGAGAAGCGACAGGAUCCAGAGAGUUCUUAAACCUUUUAUUCUGUCGGGUUCGGGUUAUGGAUUCAGCCAUCAAAUCCAACAACUUGCUCCGACAAGCC